rnacentral:rRNA from 1 species
UCGGGAAUUUUGGGCAAUGGGCGAAAGCCUGACCCAGCAACGCCGCGUGAAGGAUGAAGUAUUUCGGUAUGUAAACUUCGAAAGAAUAGGAAGAAUAAAUGACGGUACUAUUUAUAAGGUCCGGUUAACUACGUGCCAGCAGCCGCGGUAAUACGUAGGGACCAAGCGUUGUUCGGAUUUACUGGGCGUAAAGGGCGCGUAGGCGGCAAUUCAAGUCAUCUGUGAAAUCUCCGGGCUUAACUCGGAACGGUCAGAUGAUACUGCUUUGCUAGAGUGCAGAAGGGGCAAUCGGAAUUCUUGGUGUAGCGGUGAAAUGCGUAGAUAUCAAGAGGAACACCUGAGGUGAAGACGGGUUGCUGGGCUGACACUGACGCUGAGGCGCGAAAGCCAGGGGAGCAAACGGGAUUAGAUACCCAUGUAGUCCCUGAGCGGGCUGGCAAGGCGCAU